rnacentral:rRNA from 1 species
GACGAACGCUGGCGGCGUGCCUAAUACAUGCAAGUUGAGCGCUGAAGGUUGGUACUUGUACCAUCUGGAUGAGCAGCGAACGGGUGAGUAACGCGUGGGGAAUCUGCCUUUGAGCGGGGGACAACAUUUGGAAACGAAUGCUAAUACCGCAUAAAAACUUUAAACACAAGUUUUAAGUUUGAAAGAUGCAAUUGCAUCACUCAAAGAUGAUCCCGCGUUGUAUUAGCUAGUUGGUGAGGUAAAGGCUCACCAAGGCGAUGAUACAUAGCCGACCUGAGAGGGUGAUCGGCCACAGUGGGACUGAGACACGGCCCAAACUCCUACGGGAGGCAGCAGUAGGGAAUCUUCGGCAAUGGACGAAAGUCUGACCGAGCAACGCCGCGUGAGUGAAGAAGGUUUUCGGAUCGUAAAACUCUGUUGGUAGAGAAGAACGUUGGUGAGAGUGGAAAGCUCAUCAAGUGACGGUAACUACCCAGAAAGGGACGGCUAACUACGUG